rnacentral:rRNA from 1 species
AGUGAACGCUGGCGGUAGGCCUAACACAUGCAAGUCGAACGGCAGCACAGUAAGAGCUUGCUCUUACGGGUGGCGAGUGGCGGACGGGUGAGGAAUACAUCGGAAUCUACUUUUUCGUGGGGGAUAACGUAGGGAAACUUACGCUAAUACCGCAUACGACCUACGGGUGAAAGCAGGGGAUCUUCGGACCUUGCGCGAUUGAAUGAGCCGAUGUCGGAUUAGCUAGUUGGCGGGGUAAAGGCCCACCAAGGCGACGAUCCGUAGCUGGUCUGAGAGGAUGAUCAGCCACACUGGAACUGAGACACGGUCAAGACGCCUACGGGAGGCAGCAGUGGGGAAUAUUGGACAAUGGGCGCAAGCCUGAUCCAGCCAUACCGCGUGGGUGAAGAAGGCCUUCGGGUUGUAAAGCCCUUUUGUUGGGAAAGAAAAGCAGCAGGUUAAUACCCAGCUGUUCUGACGGUACCCAAAGAAUAAGCACCGGCUAACUUCGUG